GGUUGCGAUCAUACCAGCACUAAUGCACCGGAUCCCAUCAGAAACUCCGCAGUUAAGCGUGCUUGGGCGAGAGUAGUACUAGGAUGGGUGACCCCCUGGAAGUCCUCGUGUUGCAACCC
rnacentral:rRNA from 1 species